ACGGGUGAGUAAUGCUUAGGAAUCUGCCUAUUAGUGGGGGACAACAUCUCGAAAGGGAUGCUAAUACCGCAUACGUCCUACGGGAGAAAGCAGGGGACCUUCGGGCCUUGCGCUAAUAGAUGAGCCUAAGUCGGAUUAGCUAGUUGGUGGGGUAAAGGCCUACCAAGGCGACGAUCUGUAGCGGGUCUGAGAGGAUGAUCCGCCACACUGGGACUGAGACACGGCCCAGACUCCUACGGGAGGCAGCAGUGGGGAAUAUUGGACAAUGGGGGGAACCCUGAUCCAGCCAUGCCGCGUGUGUGAAGAAGGCCUUUUGGUUGUAAAGCACUUUAAGCGAGGAGGAGGCUACCGAGAUUAAUACUCUUGGAUAGUGGACGUUACUCGCAGAAUAAGCACCGGCUAACUCUGUGCCAGCAGCCGCGGUAAUACAGAGGGUGCAAGCGUUAAUCGGAUUUACUGGGCGUAAAGCGCGCGUAGGUGGCCAAUUAAGUCAAAUGUGAAAUCCCCGAGCUUAACUUGGGAAUUGCAUUCGAUACUGGUUGGCUAGAGUAUGGGAGAGGAUGGUAGAAUUCCAGGUGUAGCGGUGA
rnacentral:rRNA from 1 species